UCGACGAUGAACCGGUUUCGGCCGGGGAUUAGUGGCGAACGGGUGAGUCUACACGUGGGCAAUCUGCCCUGCACUCUGGGACAAGCCCUGGAAACGGGGUCUAAUACCGGAUAUGACUACCGACCGCAUGGUCUGGUGGUGGAAAGCUCCGGCGGUGCAGGAUGAGCCCGCGGCCUAUCAGCUUGUUGGUGGGGUGAUGGCCUACCAAGGCGACGACGGGUAGCCGGCCUGAGAGGGCGACCGGCCACACUGGGACUGAGACACGGCCCAGACUCCUACGGGAGGCAGCAGUGGGGAAUAUUGCACAAUGGGCGAAAGCCUGAUGCAGCGACGCCGCGUGAGGGAUGACGGCCUUCGGGUUGUAA
rnacentral:rRNA from 1 species